ACACACACACACACACACACACACACACACACUUUACUUCUUUAUUUGUGUCCACAAUUCAGAAUAAAUAUUACAUAAAUGAAAUAAC